GACGAACGCUGGCGGCGUGCUUAACACAUGCAAGUCGAACGGUGAAGGGACUGGUUUUGCUGGUCCUGGAUGAGUGGCGAACGGGUGAGUAUCACGUGAGUAACCUGCCCCCUUCUUCUGGAUAACCGCAUGAAAGUGUGGCUAAUACGGGAUAUUCUGGGUCUGUCGCAUGGUGGGCCUGGGAAAGAUUGCGCCUUUUUUGGUGUUUUUGGUGGGGGAUGGGCUCGCGGCCUAUCAGCUUGUUGGUGGGGUGAUGGCCUACCAAGGCGGUGACGGGUAGCCGGCCUGAGAGGGUGGACGGUCACACUGGGACUGAGACACGGCCCAGACUCCUACGGGAGGCAGCAGUGGGGAAUAUUGCACGAUGGGCGCAAGCCUGAUGCAGCGACGCCGCGUGAGGGAUGGAGGCCUUCGGGUUGGGAACCUCUUUCGCCAGUGAAGCAGGCCUGCCUCUUUUUGUGGGUGGGUUGACGGUAGCUGGAGAAGAAGCGCCGGCUAACUACGUG
rnacentral:rRNA from 1 species